rnacentral:rRNA from 1 species
UCCGUAGGGGGACCUGCGGAGGGAUCAUUACACAAAUAUGAAGGCGGGCUGGAACCUCUCGGGGUUACAGCCUUGCUGAAUUAUUCACCCUUGUCUUUUGCGUACUUCUUGUUUCCUUGGUGGGUUCGCCCACCACUAGGACAAACAUAAACCUUUUGUAAUUGCAAUCAGCGUCAGUAACAAAUUAAUAAUUACAACUUUCAACAACGGAUCUCUUGGUUCUGGCAUCGAUGAAGAACGCAGCGAAAUGCGAUAAGUAGUGUGAAUUGCAGAAUUCAGUGAAUCAUCGAAUCUUUGAACGCACAUUGCGCCCUUUGGUAUUCCAAAGGGCAUGCCUGUUCGAGCGUCAUUUGUACCCUCAAGCUUUGCUUGGUGUUGGGCGUCUUGUCUCUAGCUUUGCUGGAGACUCGCCUUAAAGUAAUUGGCAGCCGGCCUACUGGUUUCGGAGCGCAGCACAAGUCGCACUCUCUAUCAGCAAAGGUCUAGCAUCCAUUAAGCCUUUUUUUCAACUUUUGACCUCGGAUCAGGUAGGGAUACCCGCUGAACUUAAGCAUAUCAAUAAGACGGAGGAAAGCC